UGUUCCAACAUAUGCAAUGUUCUUCCAACAAGUCCAGAAUUUGCAGAAGGAGCAAUUCAAAUCAUUUGAACAGCUGACACUUGAACCUUUUGAAAGAGAUCAUGCUUCUAUUAUAGGUGGUUAUAAGUUCAAUAAAACUUGCAACAUGACAACAUGCACACCUAAACACACACGAUCAUCUAAUGGACUGCAACCUCCAGCUCAACAAUUAGGUAUUUAUCACAUAUCCUAGACUUCAAUGCUUAUUGUUGUGCAUUCAGCCACUCUACUCGAAAUUCAAAAGU